ACGGCUCAGUAACACGUCGAUAAUCUAACUUACGGUCUGGGAUACGGUCGGGAAACUGACCCUAAAACCGGAUAGUGGAUUGGUGCUGGAAUGCUCUUUCCAUUAAAAGCAAUGCCGUAAGAUGAGUCGGCGGCUGAUUAGGCUGAUGGUGAGGUAAUGGCUCACCAUACCUAAGAUCAGUAGGGGGAAUGAGAGUUCACGCCCCGAGAAGGGCACUGAGAUAAGGGCCCUAGCCCUAAGGGGUGCAGCAGGCUAGUAUCCUUUACAAUGCGCGCAAGCGUGAUAAGGGAAUCCCAAGUGCUUAGUUUUUAACUAGGCUUUUGCCAAGCAUAAAUACCUUGGCGAAUAAGGGAUGGGUAAGACCGGUGCCAGCCGCCGCGGUAACACCGGCGUCCCGAGUGGUGGUCACAAUUAUUGGGUCUAAAGCGUCUGUAGCCGACUCGAAAAAUCUUUUGUGAAAUUGAUAGGCUUAACCUAUCAGCGCGCGAAAGACACUUUCGAGUUAGGAACUGGGAGGGGUCAAGGGAAUUCCUUGGGAAGCGGUAAAAUGUUUUAAUCCUUGGAAGACCACCUAUGGCGUAGGCACUUGACCAGAACAGAUUCGACGGUGAGAGACGAAAGCGGGGGGAGCGAUCAGGAUUAGAUACCCUAGUAGUCCCCGCUGUAAACGCUGCGAGCUAUGUGUUGCAUGCUCUUCGUGAACAUGCAGUGCCGGAGUGAAGACGUUAAGCUCGCCACCUGGGAAGUACGGCCGCAAGACUGAAACUUAAAGGAAUUGGCGGGGGAGCAC
rnacentral:rRNA from 1 species